rnacentral:rRNA from 1 species
UGUGCCAGCAGCCGCGGUAAUACGUAGGGUGCAAGCGUUAAUCGGAAUUACUGGGCGUAGAGCGUGCGCAGGCGGUUUGUUAAGACAGAUGUGAAAUCCCCGGGCUCAACCUGGGAACUGCAUUUGUGACUGGCAAGCUAGAGUCUGGCAGAGGGGGGUGGAAUUUCGCGUGUAGCAGUGAAAUGCGUAGAUAUGCGGAGGAACACCAAUGGCGAAGGCAGCCCCCUGGGCCAACACUGACGCUCAUGCACGAAAGCGUGGGGAGCAAACAGGAUUAGAUACCCUGGUAGUCCCCGCCCUAAACGAUGUCAACUAGUUGUUGGGGAUUCAUUUCCUUAGUAACGUAGCUAACGCGUGAAGUUGACCGCCUGGGGAGUACGGUCGCAAGAUUAAAACUCAAAGAAAUUACGGGA